rnacentral:lncRNA from 1 species
GAUCCAUGGAUAACAAAUCUAGCUCCACGACUACUACUAACCAUAUUGCUAUUAAAACUAGCCUUGAGGUAGGCCUGGGGUGAAGGCUCCUAGAUGAUGAAGAUAUGCCAAGAUGCUACGUGAGCAGAAAGGGCCCCCCAAAUGUCCAAUAACCUUAUGGUUAGAUUAGUUGACAUCAAGUGAGUAAACUCUGCGGUCUGACUCAAAACUUUCUUUAGAACAAAUCUAGCCGCAGUUUUCCACAAGUCACACACCAAGCUGUUUUGGAACAGUCAAAUAUGAUAGGC